rnacentral:lncRNA from 1 species
AACGAUGUAAGAAACGACGUCAUCCUUCCCUAAGGCGCUAUGCGAAUGAUGGAACAACGAGUCAAAUGUCGGUGAUUCACCUACAUGACUCUCUAAAUCGGGCCUAGGGUCAACACGAACAAUCUCGGGCGGAGUUUCCCAUUUUGAACAAAUUUCGUUCAAUUCUCCUAACAACUCCUCCGAGGUCAACUCUUUCAACGACUCAUGAUAUUCCCUAUUGUUCUCGUUGUUGACUUUGAAAUCCUCGUUGAGAAGAGACUCAAUCUCACUAUCCUCGAAACUAG